rnacentral:rRNA from 1 species
AGUGAACGCUGGCGGUAGGCCUAACACAUGCAAGUCGAACGGCAGCACAGUAAGAGCUUGCUCUUACGGGUGGCGAGUGGCGGACAGGUGAGGAAUACAUCGGAAUCUACUUUUUCGUGGGGGAUAACGUAGGGAAACUUACGCUAAUACCGCAUACGACCUACGGGUGAAAGCAGGGGAUCUUCGGACCUUGCGCGAUUGAAUGAGCCGAUGUCGGAUUAGCUAGUUGGCGGGGUAAAGGCCCACCAAGGCAACGAUCCGUAGCUGGUCUGAGAGGAUGAUCAGCCACAUGGGAACUGAGACACGGACCAGACGCAAACGGGAGGCAGCAGUGGGGAAUAUUGGACAAUGGGCGCAAGCCUGAUCCAGCCAUACCGCGUGAGUGAAGAAGGCCUUCGGAUUGUAAAGCCCUUUUGUUGGGAAAGAAAAGCAGAAGGUGAAUACCCCGCUGUUCUGAAGGUACCCAAAGAAUAAGCACAGGAUAACUUCGUG